ACGCUGCCUCCCAAUGGCCUGGACGGGAUGUUUCCAAGCUCUUGUUCUCCUAACGUCUCGACAGGCGCUCACUGAAGUGUAUGAAUAUUUUUUAAAAAGGUUUUUGCAGUAAGCUAGUCUUCCUCUCUGCUUUCUCGAAAGCUUACUGAGCCCUGGGCCCCAAGCACGGGCCGGGCAUAGAUUUCCUCUUCCACACGCUGCCGCUUUUCUGGGCACCUUGAAGCAUCAGGGCGCGAAAUCAAACUAGAUGUGGGCAGGGAGAGUGUUGCUUACCUGCCCUGCUGGGGCAGGGUUUCCUGAAACUGGGUUAAUUCUUUAUAGAAAUGUGAACACUGAAUUUAUUUUAAAAAAUAAUAAUAAUAAUUAAAAAUAAU
rnacentral:lncRNA from 1 species